rnacentral:rRNA from 1 species
AUUGAACGCUGGCGGCAGGCCUAACACAUGCAAGUCGAGCGGAUGAAGGGAGCUUGCUCCUGGAUUCAGCGGCGGACGGGUGAGUAAUGCCUAGGAAUCUGCCUGGUAGUGGGGGAUAACGUCCGGAAACGGGCGCUAAUACCGCAUACGUCCUGAGGGAGAAAGUGGGGGAUCUUCGGACCUCACGCUAUCAGAUGAGCCUAGGUCGGAUUAGCUAGUUGGUGGGGUAAAGGCCUACCAAGGCGACGAUCCGUAACUGGUCUGAGAGGAUGAUCAGUCACACUGGAACCUAGACACGGUCCAGACUCCUACGGGAGGCAGCAGUGGGGAAUAUUGGACAAUGGGCGAAAGCCUGAUCCAGCCAUGCCGCGUGUGUGAAGAAGGUCUUCGGAUUGUAAAGCACUUUAAGUUGGGAGGAAGGGCAGUAAGUUAAUACCUCGCUGUUUUGACGUUACCAACAGAAUAAGCACCGGCUAACUUCGUG